AAACCAGCAGGUCAAGAUGCAAAACUACCCUGGAAGUACUGCACUGAGCUUGGUUUUUCCAACUUGAAUUCUGAGUCAAGGAUAGACAUGAUGAAGCAAGAGAGGAUGCAGUGGGCAGGCGUUCCUUUUCACAAGAUGUUCAUAAUCUCAAGCGACUACAAAAGAGUCUGGACAACCACCUUAGUCAGAGAUAUCUCCUCUGUUCAGUGCUGGAAUAUUCAGGGGAGCCAGGAACCAACUUUUUCUACUAGUCACUUGGAGGAGAAGAGGUUUCUAACGUGCUCAAAAAUACUGGAGUAUUUUUUUUACUAUAAAAUUGUUCUUCUAUAGAUAUUUUCUUCCUGUAAAUAUCCCUUUUUAUAGGCAGACAGAAAUAUGCAAUAAUCUUUAUGGUCCUAGAAAGAAAUAGUGUA